GGGGAACUGUGAGGGUCUCUGUGCCAAGUGCUGGAAACAGGAGAAUUUGAGGCUGGCACCCCGCUGAGAGCUGGGUGUACAUAAGGCCUUGCAGGGGCCGCAUCUGGAGGCGACAGCAGCAGGGUCUAUGACAUGAAGGCUUGAGGCAAGUCACUCGGACAAGUGGUUCCAAAAAAGCUGCUUUUUGGAAGAAGGGUGCUGAGAAACCUGAGGUCACCAGGUGACAUCACUCUCAGCCUCUCUGACAUCCUUGCCUUUGCAGAGAGGGAAUGCAAAUGCCAUCUUUUCUUUUCUUUUUUUUUCUUUUUGAGACGGAGUCUCACUCUGUCUCCCAGGCUGGAGUGCAGUGGCGCAAUCUUGGCUCACUGCAACCUCCUCCUCCUAGGUUCACGCCAUUCCCCUGCCUCAGCCUCCCGAGUAGCUGGGACUACAGGCGCCCGCCACCACGCCCGGCUAAUUUUUUGUAUUUUUAGUAGAGAUGGGGUUUCAUCAUGUUAGCCAGGAUGGUCUCGAUCUCCCGAGCUCGUGAUCAGCCCACCUCGGCCUCCCAAAGUGCUGGGAUCACAGGCGUGAGCCACCGUGCCCGGCCACCAUCUUUUCUCUUCUAGGGACAGAGGGCCUAGGGAGAGGAGGUUGAGCUCCCGGUAUGGACUCAGGAAAUUAGCUGCAGCUUUUUCUGACAGGAAAAUUCUAAAGUCCUAGUCAGCUCACCAGGAGGGGCAUCUGGCUGCAUUUUCCUUCAGCCUGUCAGAGAGGCAGUUCCAGAGUCCUCUCCCCUCUUCUUCAAAUGGGCAAACCAGUGCCUUCCCGCAUGUACCACUCACCCCUUCCAGCGCAUCUGCCCACUCUCUCCCUCCACACACUCACCCUGGCUUUCCCCUUGGACUCUUUGAACAGGCUGCUCCCCCUCUGAAAUGCUCUUCCCCAGACCACACCCCGCCCCCAGCCUCAGAUCAAAUCCUGCCCCUGCCAAUUUCUAGCCAUGUGGCCCUGGGCAAGUCACCGCAUCUCUUUGAACCUCAGUCUCCCCAUCUGUAAAAUGGAGUUAAUACUACCUCCCACACUGGUAAGAAUGAGGAGAUAACACAUGAAGCGCUGAGUCCAGUUUCUGUCACAAGGGAGAGGCUCAACACCCCUUCACCCCUUCUAGAAUCCCUUCCAACACCUGCUUGCCACUUACUGAUUUGCCUUAUUUAUUGCUUCAUAAUAAAUCAAAAGACAGAUAUUCACUGAGUACUCACUGUAUGUUUAACACUGGCAAGUUCUAGAGAGAUCCAAGGGGUGGUUCUUUGCCCACCUGGAAACAGCUACCAACCUGGAUGGGCAGGCAACAUCUGUAACGAUGGAAUAUCCAACUGCUCGGACAGCAUGGCUGUCCCACUGGGCUGAGUGAGUAGCAGGCUCCCGGAGGAGCCAGAGAAUGGGCAAGGGAGGUGUGGCUUGGGGAGGGCUUCCUCGAGAAGGGGGCCUUGGUUUGCAAGUAGGAUAGGCAGAGGGGACAAGAAGGGCAGUGUGGACAGAAGGCAUGGCAGAGGCAUGACCGUGGUCAUGGGGACACAGGAGUAAAGAGGGAGUGUGGGAAGAUUUCGGGGUGAUGACUGGAUGGAAAAGGCCAGGCCACACACUGGAGAUCCUUGAGAGCCAGGCAGAGGAAUUUAGAUCAGACAUGGUAUGAAACAGGGAGCCACAGCAGGUUCUUGAGCAGGGGGCAGGAGUACAGGUUGAAAGGGAAGGGAUGAGCUUCUCAUUUAUUAACAUCAGCUGUAUUUCAGAAUUUUUCUAGGUGCUUAUUAUAUGUUUUCCCACAUAAUCUCCAAGCAACCUGGUAAAAUAUAUCUGUUUAUCUUCAUUUUAGAGACAGAGAAACAAACAGAGAAAUUGAGUAACUUCCCCAAGGUCACAGAGUAAGUAGAAAGUGAGAUAAUUGAAGUCUGUCUAACUCCAGACUCCACUUCCAACACAACCUAGUUUCCCUUACAGAGGAUGUGGAUCAGAAUUUGGCAGGACCCUUCCUCCCUUCUCCACCCCCACCGACCCCUUGGUAGAAUUUGUUUCAGAGGCUGGAGGAGUCUUGGACCGAUGGAGGUAAAACUGCCUCGGACGCUUCCCUUUCCAGCUGCUUUAUACGAAGGAGAGGCCCAGGAUGACGGGGAAGCCUGGUCCCCGGUCACUGCACAGGGAGGGGUCUGUGGGGCCGUGGGUAAGUGAGGGGGGUAGGCAGAGGCGACUCUGGGCUUUCGGGCCUGCCUGCCUGGGAGGAGCAGCAGUCUGUUGAUGGUGCUAGAGAAGCCAGGGCAAGCUGCAGGAAGAAUGAGGCGUUGGGUUUGGAACGCACAGAGCCUGACACAGUGGGCCAAGCAGAACUGCCCAUGGCUUCAGAAACCCAGGCUCAAAGCUGGGUAGACAGGUCUGACCCCGAGGACUUUCCAAGCACUGUUUUCCUGUCCCUUCCAGACCAGGGACGCCCAAGAAUGGGUCUGUGGUGCCUCCUUCCUCAGCCCCACUGGCACCCAGAGUUGUGUUUUCUGACCGGGGUGGGGACAUUCAAGGACAGUACUGCCUGGCAGCCUCCCUUCCCUCUGCCCCCUCCCACCUCCCUCCCACUCCUCCCUCAGCCCGUGGUACCUUUGAGGCCUGACAGCCCCCUUCCCUACAUCCUGUAAGGACUGCUGUCCCGUCCUUGCUCGUACCCACCCCACCAGUCCCUGGGGUAUCUGUGUGUGUUUCUCUCCCUCCAAAGGGCACUCAUUUAACAGAUGUCUCUGGAGCAACCACUACGCCAGCCUGUGCCAGGCACUGAGGAUGAGGAUACAGCCACACCCUCAUGGAGCUUACAUCCCCGUGGGCGGGGGAGACAGUAACCAGGAACAGCAGCCAGAGGUCCGAGACAGAAGGAGACCCAGGUGCUAGAGCUGGGCUGGGGUAAGGCUGAAUCCUUAAGCCUGGGAGGAGAAGCGAGUGCUCCUGGACAGAGCCCCACGCUGGGAAGUUUCCCGCCUGAGGUGCGGACAUCAAGGAGCCCCUAGUAAGAAACACAGGACUGAGCCUCAGACUCAGAACACAGCAAGGUGGAGUCUACAUUCAGGGCUAUGAAGAUCAGAAGGUGCUGGGGAGAGAUGUGGGCAGUACAUGAGGGGAGAGUGGUUUUAUAACCGUCCCAGCCAUCCAAGGUGGCGCUGGCUGCCUUGGGAGAAAGUGAGCUGCCUAUCAACUAAGACAUUCAAAUAGAGGCUGCAGAGGUUCAUCAUCCUCUCACUGAAUAUUCACUGAGUACCUUCUGUAGGUGGCCCAAUCCAGGUAGCAAAUGAGGGUGCCACUAUCGAACCACAUGGCAUUUUUUUUUUUUUGAGACGGAGUCUCACUCUGUCGUCCAGGCUGGAGUGCAGUGGCGCUAUCUCAGUUCACUGCAAGCUCUGCCUCCCGGGUUCACGCCAUUCUCCUGCCUCAGCCUCCCGAGUAGCUGGGACUACAGGCGCCCGCCACCAUGCCCGACCAAUUUUUUUGGUAUUUUUAGUAGAGGCAGGGUUUCACUGUGUUAGCCAGGAUGGUCUCGAUCUGCUGACCUUGUGAUCUGCCCGCCCGCCUAGGCCUCCCAAAGUGCAGGGAUUACAGGCGUGAGCCACCGCGCCCGGCCUUUUUCUUUUUCUUUUUUUUUUUUGAGACAGAGUCUUGCUCUGUUGCCCAGGCUGGAGUACAGUGGUGCGAUCUGCGCUCACUGCAACCACUCCGCCUCCCGAGUUCAAGCGAUUCUCCUGCCUCAGCCUCCUGAGUAGCUGGGAUUACAGGCACCCGCCACCACACCUGGCUACUUUUUUGUAUUUUUAGUAGAGAUGGGGUUUCGCCAUGUUGGCCAGGCUGGUCUGGAACUCCCGACCUCAGGUGAUCCUCCCGCCUAGGCCUCCCAAAGUGCUGGGAUUACAAGCAUGAGCCACCGCACGGGUGGCCCACAUGGCAAUUUAAAGUCCCUUCCAGGCCUGAUAUCCAAGACAAAGUUAAUCCAGGCAGGGUUCUUGGAGAAGGCAGAAGAGAGGAAGAGGAAGGGCUUCUAUGAGGGGCUGGGAUGGGGCAGACCUGAGGCUCUGGAGCCGGCUGAAUCCUUGGGCAAGCUGCUGCUAGACACCAGCCCCCACCCCAGGGGGUGUAGAGGCUUAGGUCCUGGGGGUGCGGGACGGCAAAGAGAGCCAGACAGCUUCUUAGAAAGUGGCAGGCAGGUGAGCGAGCUCCCCAGUGAUAAUUAAGGAACAAAGGUGCCGAGGUGCAGGGAGCCUGCGCGGGCCUCUGGGGCAGGCGGACUAAUGGGAGCCUGAGGAGAGGUAAUAACCAGCGGCCGAGUGGAGCAGACAGCCCGGCGUCGCAACGCCCACGAGCCGCCCCCUCGCCCUCCUUCGCCAGAACAAUGACUGCAGCACCCAGCUGGGGUGAAAACAUGGAUGCUGACUGCGAGCUGCUCCCGGCUUUCCAAUGAGGUUGUUGCGGGAUGUGGGUUUGCAGGAGCAGGGGUCUAGGGGAGCUGAGGAGCCUGGAGGUGGAGGGAGGUGGGUCAGGGUGAGGUCAGGGAUUCGCCCGGGAUUCUGAAGGUGCAUAGGUGCCUGGGAGGAGAUGCCUUGCCUAGAGGUAAAGGCAGCACUGUUCCUCCAACCGUGUUCUGGUGACUCACGUCCCCACGUAAUAGAGGUAGCCACUGAGGCAAGAGCUCUGCGCUUGGACUCCUGGGGUCUGGCUAUGCUUUGCAUUGUACUGUGACUCUGGGCAAGGUUCUGGGAGCCUCGGCUUCUUCACUUGUUGAAACGGAAACAAGAAGGAUCAUGACGGGUGGCUAGGAUGGCUCAGGGAGCUGGUGUAUGGGAAAGGCCCUCGCUCACAGCAACCCCCAAAACUGGUGUCCCCAGACUGGUCAGAAAUCAGAACCUCACAGGGGCCGGGCACUGUGGCUCAUGCCUGUAAUCCCAGCACUUUGGGAGGCCGAGGCGGGAAGAUCGCUUGAGCCCAGGAGUUCAAGACCAGCCUGGGCAACACAACAAAACCCUGUCUCUACAAAAAAUAAAAAUAAUUUAAAAUGAGCCCAACGUGGUGGAGCAUGCCUGUGGUCCUAGCCAUUCAGGAGGCUGAGGUGGGAGGAUUGCUUAAACCCAGGAGGUGAAGGCUGCAGUGAGCCAUGUUCACACUACAGCACUCCAGCCUGGGCAACAGAGUGAGAGCCUGUCUCAAAAGAAAAAAAGAGAGAAUGUCACAGGGAGCCACACGCCAGGCCACUCCUCCACCCCAAGCUGCAACAACAAAUUCCCUCACAAAGCCUCACUCAGCCCUUGGACGUCCCCAAUCCCAUCUCCUACACACACAUACCCACACACACGCACACACACCUGUGUGUCACACCUGGGACAGCAAAAUCCCACAGGGUCAUGAGUAUCUUGAAUGUUUGCUUCCCAGCUAUACUCCCAAAUAGAGGCCCACAAAGUCACCCCAACACCAAGUCACCCUGUGGUGUGCACUCCUGCUCCCCACAUCAGACCUCGCUGAUGAAGGAGUAGUGAACUCAGUCGAUACUCAUAGACACCCAGGUCUGCACAUACACCCACAGACACUCCUGCAUGUGCCUAAAGCUUUGGAAAUGGGCUUGAAAUAUCACAGAGUUCAACUCCUGCUUCAAGACUAGAGACCAUUCAACGCUGUCACAACUGAUGGUUGUCUAGUCUUUGGAGGUUUCUGCUUGCAUGCACAUUGUACGUGUUUUCACAUGCACACACCCCCAUUGAUGCAUUUGGCUAGUCUAGUAAUUGGUCUCCUCCCUUCUAUGUCCCUCCUUACCCCAGUCUGAUCCAGCAUAGUGCUGUCUGAUUCAUCUUUCCAAGACUCAGCCUUCCAUGUGUCUCUCUGCUGCUCCAACACCCAACAUGGCUCCCUACUGCCCUCUAAGAUAAAGUCCAAGUGCUUCACGCCACCAUUCCUCCCUCCAGUCCUUUAGUGACUCCCCCAACUUUAUAGGACCCAAGUAACCUUAUUGAGGACAUUCGUGCUAUCCCGCAAUCCAGUCCUUGAAUCCCCUUCACAAGUUGUCAAGCCUUCCUUUGAGGUUCCGGUGAUAAGAACUCGCUACCUCCUGAGCUAGGCCAUUUUAUUUCAUUACAGGCAGCUGCAGCUCUUAGAGCUUAAUCUAGUAAAGGCCAUCUAGGCUGGUUCAACUUCUGCUGCUUCCCGGGAUGUUUUCUAUAACCUCUUGCCCCUUGGUUCUGCCUUCAGCAUUCCCUGCCUUCAUGCGAGCUGUUGUUUUGCAUCUGAGACCUCUUAGGGACAAGGUGCCUGAAAUAGCACUGGUGCUGAAAUAGCACUGGGUGUCUAUCGAUGGUACAUAUCUAUAUGCACAUUCAUGUCCAGAUGUGUGCAGUCUGUCCCCUUGCAUUCUGGGUGCACACAGUGUCGGAGAUCAUUUCAGAAAGCCCCACUGUGCCUGCUCUUUGCCAUGAUGUUUGGGGACCAUGGGCCUGGGACAAAGGUGCUCUGAAUUCCCCAUUUCCAUUCUUAACUCCCUUCAGGAGAGCAAGCACAGCUCAGGGAGGGGUCAGAGGUCCCUUCUCUGCUCUUCUACAGCCCCCAAACUGUCCACAGCACCAGUGAAUUUUGUGAUAUGAUCGCAACUCCCACACUCCCACUCUCUGGCACCUCCCUGCAUUAUCUAUCUUUCUCCCUAGCACACAUUCCCUUCUACAGGCUAUGUCACUUGCUUAUUUAUUUUAGUUCCAUUCUGUCUCUCUCUUCUCAAAUGUGAGCUCCUUGAGGACAGAGAUUUGGGCUGUUCUGUUCAUAUCUGGACCCCUAGUGCCUACAGUGGUGCUUGGCACACAAGGUUCACUGUCUGCAGGUUGAAUGGAGGUGGUGGGUUUCUUCUCCACCUACCCUGGACAGUGAGCUCUAGGAGGGCAGAGUCUACAUUCCAGACUUGCCUGCCCAGUGCCCAGGACCAUGUGGGGGCACAAUAGGAGCUCAAGUCCAUGUUUGUGGGCUAAAUGAUCAGGGACUGUCAACGGUGUUUCUUUCUUUUUGUUAAAAAAAAAAAAAUUUUGAGACAAGGAUCUCACUGUGUUCCCUAGGCUAGUCUCGAACUCCUGGCCUCAAGUGAUUUUCCCAUCUCAGCCUCCUGAGUAGCUGGGAUUACAGGUGCGUGCCAGCAUGCCCAGCCCUGUGAGCAGUGUUCCCGUCCAUCCCCAGCACAUCGAGAGCUGCCUUUGGGCACAGCCACGGGCAGGAUGGGAGAGGGGAUAGAGGCAGAGAGGAGGAUCCCCAGGCUCUCUCUCUGAUGGGGUCUGCACACACACCCAGCUCCUAGACGGAGAGUUCCUCUGGCUGACCAAACUACAGCCUUGAGGGGUGGGCGUGAAGGGAGGGUAGGUGUCACAGCCGGUUUCUCAGGUGUCCCGGGAGAGGGAGGAGGAGCUGAUGGUCGUGGCUCAGAGGGGAUAGAGAUAGAGCAGGAAUGCUCACCUUUGCACACCCCCAGCGGACCAGGGAGUCGGCCCCUUUCUGAUUCUUUUGAAUAGGGUACCUUGGGCUUCAAUCACCCUCUCUGACCCCAUUUCCUCCAGCUGGAAAAUGGAGCAAAUAAUAGUCCCUGCUUGUAAUCAGAGCCCAGAGUGGACCCUCGAAUGUUCUCAAUCAUUGUGAGGACAUCGAUGAUGACAAUCAUGAUGAAAAAAAUAAAUAGAAUGAAACAGGGGACCCAGCCUCUCACUUCCCAGUCCCAGUGGUUGUCUCAGACUCCUCCUGGCUUUGGGUUAAAGGAGACAGCAUCCCAUGGGCCUUAGGGGAGCUGAAGGCUGGAUUGGGGAGUCAGGGAUCCAGAGAGAGGAGAUAGCUGGGCCCGUGGGAGGCAGGGCCCUUUCUUUCUUUCAGGAGAAAGAAGAGCCUGCAGCUGAAUCAGCCCCUCCUAGUCCCCUUGCCACCAGCACCAGGCAUUAUGGGCCAUGGCAGGGACACAGAGGGUGGCGGCAUCAGGACAGAGCCAGCUACCAUGUCGGGAGCUUGGGGUGGUCCAAUGCUGUGGUUCCACCAGCUCUGGGCAGAGCAUGUCCUUGUCCUGGAUGGCCCAGGGACAGUUAAGGAAGCACCCGGGACAAGGAGUCAAGAGACCCAAACUCCAGCCCAGGGUCCUCUUCUCGCUCACCUCAGGGCAAGUCACUCCCCACGUCUGAGCCUCAGCUUCCUCCUCCGGCAAAUGGGAGAAUUGGAUUAGGUGGUCUCUGAUGCCACCCGACAGGUAGGCCAUCGCUCUCUAGGGAAAGUGAGGUGAAGUCCCUCAGCACAGUGCCUGGCACACAGCAGGUACUUGGUAAAUAUUGGGACUCCCACUCAUUUGAAGUGUCCUCUGAGGAAAGUAAGGGCAGGGUUCCCUUCACACUCCACCUGCCCUGGCUUCUGCCAAAAAGAACAUCCUUCUCCAGGGAGCCAGAAGCUGUGAGUGAGGUAUGGGUUGGCCUCCUAGGCUGGUCCCUGCCUCUUUUCAGCUCAGCCACUUCCAUCCCACCCCCAACCUUGGCUGCCUCCAACAUCCUGCCAUUUCCCUUCUUCCCCCACCUCAGAGCCACCAGCUGAGCCUGGAUUUUCUGCAAGAGGCCCCUCUCCACUUUCUGCCCUCCCCACUGAGCCCCUGGCUGCCACUCACCACCUUGGCCCUCAGAGAUAGCGGCUGGCAGGGGUGCCAAUGGGGGUUCCCACCAACCUCCUCUCAGACCUUGGUUCUCUGGGGCCUUCUCAGGUGGCUUCACCCCUGGGCAAAGCCCAAGUCCUCAGCUAGUUUUCCCUAGAAUUUUGAGUUUCUUCAGUGCUCAAGCCCUGCAGACUUCAGAGAUAUCAAAACCCCAUCAUCCCAGCACUGAGCUCUGAGCCCCACACAGAGGCCCUGCCCCCUCCCUACUCCCAGAGCUCCCAAGUUCCUGCUCAAGAAAAGGUCCUGAUCCAUAAAGAGGCAGUCCACAAACCUCCCGUGUGGCAGAAGAACUUUUUUUUUUUUUGUCUCCAGGGAGACAUCCUGCAAAGUUUUAUUCUUUAUAGGAAGUCGGUGCCCAGCACGUUCCCUGUCUACAGCCAAAUAAAAAGCUGCUCUCUCUAGAGGGGUGGCAGCAGUCCUGCAUGGUCCAGUGAGACUCAGAAGGUUCCAGGAGACCUUCAGUCCUAAGACCCUUUCAGUCAUUGUCUUCUGAGUCUGACUCUUCUGCAGACUCGGAUGCGCCCUCUGGCAAGUCAUCUCCCAUCUGCUGGAAACUUCCCUACUGUGAAUCCCACA
rnacentral:lncRNA from 10 species